UACGAAGGGAGCUAGCGUUGUUCGGAAUCACUGGGCGUAAAGCGCACGUAGGCGGCUGUGUCAGUCAGGGGUGAAAUCCCGGAGCUCAACUUCGGAACUGCCUUUGAUACAGCACGUCUUGAGUCCGAUAGAGGUGGGUGGAAUUCCUAGUGUAGAGGUGAAAUUCGUAGAUAUUAGGAAGAACACCGGUGGCGAAGGCGGCCCACUGGAUCGGUACUGACGCUGAGGUGCAAAAGCGUGGGGAGCAAACAGG
rnacentral:rRNA from 1 species